UCUGCUCAAUGUAAUAUAUUUAUAAAUAGCUGCAUCAUAUGUACUAAGGUAGCGUAAUAAUUUGCCUUUUAAUUGAAGGAUUGUAUGAAGGAAUAAACAAGAAAUUAACUGUCUUUUUAUAAUAAAUAAAACUUAAUCUGUAAGUGAAAAAGCUUACAUAAAAUAAAUAGACAAGAAGACCCUGUUGAGCUUUUUCUAUUAAUUAAUAAAUAGAUUUUGUUGGGGCAACAUAAAUUAUUAAUAAACAAUUUUUUUUCUAUAUUAGAAUAAAUUCAUUUUUAUUAUCUUAUUUAAUAAAAUAUUAAUAAGCUACCACAGGGAUAACAGGCUAAUUUUCUUUUAGAGUCCAAAUUAACAAGAAAGAUUGGCACCUCGAUGUUGGCUUAAGGUAUCAAUUAAUUGUAGUAGAUUAAUUUGUUGGUUU
rnacentral:rRNA from 1 species